rnacentral:rRNA from 1 species
GUGGGGAAUAUUGGACAAUGGGCGAAAGCCUGAUCCAGCCAUGCCGCGUGUGUGAAGAAGGUCUUCGGAUUGUAAAGCACUUUAAGUUGGGAGGAAGGGCAGUAAGUUAAUACCUUGCUGUUUUGACGUUACCGACAGAAUAAGCACCGGCUAACUUCGUGCCAGCAGCCGCGGUAAUACGAAGGGUGCAAGCGUUAAUCGGAAUUACUGGGCGUAAAGCGCGCGUAGGUGGUUUUGUAAGUUGGAGGUGAAAUCCCCGGGCUCAACCUGGGAACUGACUCCAAAACUGCAUGACUAGAGUACGGUAGAAGGUAGUGGAAUUUCCUGUGUAGCGGUGAAAUGCGUAGAUAUAGGAAGGAACACCAGUGGCGAAGGCGACUACCUGGACUGAUACUGACACUGAGGUGCGAAAGCGUGGGGAGCAAACAGGAUUAGAAACCCGUGUAGUCC